AAUCCUUCCUCCUUCAGCUUCUGUAGGGUCUUCCCUUACAACUAGAACUCCCACUAUGGCUACCAGGCCCUUUUCUGCCCAAGCUGACCUCUGUCACUGAAGUGACUAACUGGUGUCAGAGAGGCAUUGUUCUCCCACCUACCCUGCCUCCACCUCACAGGUGCUAUCACCAUGGGAACCAAGUUGACCAAUGAGAACAAACACUGAGCCACCUCUCCCCCAAGACAGGCCACAAGCAACAUUCAGAGGCCUCCAGGGCCCCCUCCUGGAUAAACCAAUCCCACUGCCCCCCGCCAUCAAGGCGGAAAAACGGGGGUCUUCUGUCUGUAAUGCUCAAGAGCAAAAGUCAAGUUCGUCAUUGUCCAGUUUAGAGAACCAGCUGCAUGUGGGGUCCUGCCAUUCAGCAAUCAUUCAGAAGCCCCUAAAGAUUGUCUGUAGUACCUUGGGAACACCCGAAAGCACUGAGAGCCUCAAGAAGAGCACACAGAGCCUCGAGCCAAAGGUAUGCAGUAUCUCUACCCUGUCGAACAGUGGCUAUGAAGCCGAUGAGGAGAGCAGCAAGGACAACCUGGUUAACAGGAAGCAAACAGUGAGGCUGACUAAGCGGCUCGCUGCCCGAGUAGAGAGCAGUGAGCUAUUCCCUGUGCCCCAUCUCAGCCCAUUCAAGAACCGAAGGCCGGCCAGGAAAGGCCAGUGCACCCAGAAGUCUGGAGGGGAAAAGUGAGACCAGCCUGCCGGGCAGCAGAGUCAGCAGCCUGAGUAGCAUCGGCUUCCUCAGCCCAGGCAGUAGUUUCCUAUCCUACCAGGUGAGCAGCGGCCUUCUCAGCUCCAGCAGCAGCAGCAGCAGCAGGCCCUCCAGCAAAGCCAACAGUAGCCAGAGCAUUAGGGUAGACUGUAAUGAGCAGAGCGAGCCAAGAAGCAACACCAACCUCCAGGAGGACAAGACCACGGACACGGACACAGUGGAGAGCAGCAACCAGUCCACCCAGGCUGAGCAGCCCACCCAGGAGCCCAUGCCUUUAUGAGGUGAUUUCUCAGCAGCCAGGAUCUAGACACUAGGGCCCAGCAAACGCCGGUUCACCCAGAAUGUCGAUUGACAACGUAAGUAGAAGUGGGAGCUGUGUCUUCCACAGCCGUGACCAUCAACAGAUAGGUCACACGCAGGAACAGCUGCUGAGAAGUGACUGUAUGAGAAGGUGUUGUGAGAAGAGCUGCAGCAAGAGCCAUCGGCGCCAGACCAUCUUCAUCAAACCAAGAACCAUCGGCGCCAGACCAUCUUCAUCAAACCAAGGACCAUUGGCGCCAGACCAUCUUCAUCAAACCAAGAACCAUCGGUGCCAGACCAUCUUCAUCAAACCAAGAACCAUCGGCGCCAGACCAUCUUCAUCAAACCAAGAACCAUUGGCGCCAGACCAUCUUCAUCAAACCAAGAACCAUCGGCGCCAGACCAUCUUCAUCAAACCAAGAACCAUCGGUGCCAGACCAUCUUCAUCAAACCAAGAAUCAUUGGCGCCAGACCAUCUUCAUCAAACCAAGAACCAUCGGCUCCAGACCAUCUUCAUCAAACCACCCGUGGGAAGAGCAUCAAGUACCAUGAACCUCAGCCCAGGCUCUUCGUAAGGUCCGUCGAAAUUAUCAGCACCAUGAUCAGUAGUGACCGUUGACACUGUUUUAAGAACCGUUAAAAGGUAGAACCUUCCAUGAUGAACCCAUUAUAAACAAUGAGCACCAUUUACAACUGCCACGUGCUCAGAAGAAACGUGUCACCUACACUGGGAGUGGCCCAGGUCCAGAAGUGUCUGGGAUGAUAAGGGCCCUGCAUGGGGAUCUAUAACCAUGGAGGGCUCCAUCCCUACUGAGCUCUAUAACAUGCAGGCACUGCCCAGGAAGCUCCAACCUGGGGAAUACUGUACACAAAGAACAUCCACGACUCCCAACAGUGUAACCCAGCCCAUCUGGGGGACCAUCAAAAACAGCUGGGAGUACCACUAGCCCAGGGGCAAAGUGUCUAGAAAGAACUUCUGAGGGGAUAUGGUACCCAGGUACCCAAAGAACAUCACCCACGGGAGAGCUGUGCUUUCCUGUCUGAUUCUUUCUGGGCAACUGUACCCCACAUUCCAUCCAGGAGCAAGGGCUGAGAACACGGUUCCAGUCUCUAUAUUGGCCUCAGAAAAGAAGAAAUCAGAAGCCAUGGACAGCCCUUUGCUCAGAUGGUAACCACCACCAUAGACUCAGAGACCAGCCUGCAGGAACUACGGGGACAGGAACUCUACACCACGGAUGAGUGCUGCAGAACUGGAUAAGAGGCCUGAGGCUCUGGCCCCUUUCCUUCUCAGAACAGUGGAACCCUUCCCCGGACUAAGCACAUAGAUCCAGGAAACAAGUGGGUGCAUGAAGAGAAGAGGCCAGGGGCAGUCGAUGCAAACAUCCACGAAGCACCAGAAGGAAAGUUGAGGGGGCACCAAACACAAUAAAUGGUGUCUGGAGAGGUCACAUGUACAAGGCUCUGUGUGUGUCUUCCUAUACAGGCCAUGGAGAAGGCAGCCCAGGCUCACUAAAGAACCAACUAUACCUACCACUUGGGUCACUACCAAGCCAGUCACCUGGGGUAAAAUGCAUUUUCAGAGCCAUGUUUCCUGUAGACUUCGAAGUCUAAGGUCAAGGCACUGACAGGAAGGGCCACUUGAUCACAGAUGGCUUCCUUUUUCCUGUAAUGUCACAGGGAGAAAGGGUAAGGACACUGUCUCACACAUUUCACAAAGAUGCUAAUCCCAUUCAAAAGGGCUUCACCCCUGCUGACUCCAGCACCUCCCAUUCUAACACCUGGGGGUUGGGAGAAUCCAUUUCAUUAUGCAAUCAGUUGCUGGAGAGAUGACUCAGCUGGCAAAGUGCUGUCAAACAGGCAUGAGGACCUACACUUGAUCCCCCAGAAUCCAUGGUUUUAUGGGUUUUUGUUUUUGUUUUUGUUUUUGUUUUUUAAAAAAGCCCAACAAAAAGGCUAACACCAGCUAUCCCAGUACUGGAGAGAUAGCAGCGAGAGGAUCCCUGUGGCUUACCAGCCAGGCCACUCUGCCUGCCACCAAGCUCCUGAUCCAGUGAC
rnacentral:lncRNA from 1 species